GGUCACGCUGUUAAAGUGCCCAACCCUGACAGCAUGGGCCACCCAAUAGAACCCUCCAUAUGCAGCCCCGGCGGCUUGCCGCAAAUGGUGAUGGCGGUACCCGGUCGCAGGGGUACCGCCAGCUCGCACCCGCCAGCCCGGUCUCUCAAAAUUAGAAAAUCCCUACCGCCCACACGGAAUCCUGAAAUGCCCACUAGUGGGCGGUAGGGACCAGGUUGACGACCCAUGCUCUAAACACAU